UCCAAAGUUAGCCACUCAUUACCAUAAUUAUUGAUUUUUGACGAAUGCAAUCGAUAGUUCGUCAAUUGUUCUUGAUUGUUCGAGGAUUUUCAGCGUUUGUUCCCCAGCCAAUUAUUUAUAAUUGAUUUUUUAUUUUUUCCUCCCAUGUUUCCUCAAUUUAGCCCCUCCCACGUAAAGAUCUAAUCAUUUUAAAUUGUUCCUUCUGAUGAAUCGUUUGUUCGUCGUUUGUUCCUCCCUAAGACACUGCUGAGCUAUAAUUCGUGAUUUACUAUGCAGAAGUAUUUUUGGAGCGGAGUCCGUUCCGAAGGCUGUUUAAUAAUAAUUAGUUCAUCAUUGAAUAAUAAUAAUGAUAUUGACGACAAUCAUCGAUGAUUACUAUUCAGCCGUGUGACAGUGUUUCCUCUCAAUGAACUCUAUCGAUGGAUAUGUUCAAUUACCGCCCAUUGAACAUUUACAUUAACCUCAAUAUUGUGCAGCAGUAUACUAUAGUAACGAGUGUAACAAUAUUACAUGAAAAAUCACCAAUAGCGAUUAAUGGAAGAAUUAAUUCAUGGGAGAAUAAUGCCCUUAACGUGUGAGAUUCAUUGAUGAAGCAUUAUGACGACUCCAUCGGUUUUCUAGAAGAAAACUCCGGGGAAAAUCAGCAGUGAACGAUGAGGGACAUUCUGCGGACAGAGUGAGGUGGAAAUUAUUAUCUUGUCGGCAUAUUUUUGGUAGAUUCUCUGGAGAUGAAGGUUCUACUUGAGCAGUAGUUUCACUUGGCAUUGGCUCUGACAUCAGACUCCAUCAGAAUUCCCCAGACCUUCAAUGAAAUCUUUAGGCAUAAACAAACCUAGAGAAUUGUCUCUCAUUGUAGACAUUAUUCAACCGCUUUGAUUGAUCCAGAAGCUUACAAAAUGUUUCAGGAUGGACGUUCAACCCUCAGGAUUACUUCGGGUCAUUUCAAUCAAGUAUGGUUUA